GACGAACGCUGGCGGCGUGCUUAACACAUGCAAGUCGAACGGAAAGGCCCUGCUUUUGUGGGGUGCUCGAGUGGCGAACGGGUGAGUAACACGUGAGUAACCUGCCCUUGACUUUGGGAUAACUUCAGGAAACUGGGGCUAAUACCGGAUAGGAGCUCCUGCUGCAUGGUGGGGGUUGGAAAGUUUCGGCGGUUGGGGAUGGACUCGCGGCUUACCAGCUUGUUGGUGGGGUAGUGGCUUACCAAGGCUUUGACGGGUAGCCGGCCUGAGAGGGUGACCGGCCACAUUGGGACUGAGAUACGGCCCAGACUCCUACGGGAGGCAGCAGUGGGGAAUAUUGCACAAUGGGCGGAAGCCUGAUGCAGCAACGCCGCGUGCGGGAUGACGGCCUUCGGGUUGUAAACCGCUUUCGCCUGUGACGAAGCGUGAGUGACGGUGAUGGGUAAAGAAGCACCGGCUAACUACGUG
rnacentral:rRNA from 1 species